rnacentral:rRNA from 1 species
AGCGAACGUUAGCGGCGGGCCUAACACAUGCAAGUCGAGCGAGAAAGUGGCUUUGGCCAUCAGUAAAGCGGCGGACGGGUGAGUAACACGUAGGUAAUCUUCCCUUGAGCGGGGGACAACGAGCCGAAAGGCUCGCUAAUACCGCAUACGUUUCUCGGGACUCUGGUCCUGGGAAGGAAGGCUAGGCAGCAAUGUCCGGCACUCGAGGAGGAGCCGGCGUCGCAUCAGCUAGUUGGUGGGGUAACGGCCUACCAAGGCGAAGACGCGUAGCUGGUCUGAGAGGAUGAUCAGCCACACUGGGACUGAGACACGGCCCAGACUCCUACGGGAGGCAGCAGUGGGGAAUAUUGGACAAUGGGCGCAAGCCUGAUCCAGCCACGCCGCGUGAGUGAUGAAGGCCUUCGGGUCGUAAAGCUCUGUGGGGAGGGACGAACCGCCGGAUGUGCAUAGCAUCCGGCAUGACGGUACCUCCUUAGCAAGCACCGGCUAACUUCGUGCCAGCCGCCGCCGUAAAAC